ACUAGGCAGACCUGGCACACCU
rnacentral:miRNA from 1 species